rnacentral:rRNA from 1 species
GAGCUGUCUCUUACUUUUAUUUUUAACUUAAUUAGAGAGUGAAAAUGCUCUUAGAAUAAACAAAAGACGAGAAGACCCUUAGAAUUAUAAUAAAAAGGAUUAACACAAAAAAUCACGAAAUUUUAGUUGGGGCAACUGAGGUAAUGUAUGGGGAACUACCUCUGUUUAUUAAGUAGCGACUUGCCGGAUGGUGUUAAGUAAGGAAUAAUUACCUAAGGGAUAACAGCAUAAUUUUAUUUUUUAGUUUGUGACCUCGAUGUUGGACUAG